rnacentral:rRNA from 1 species
UGAGUACGAGAUGCUACGGCGUCGAAGCAGUGUAUGUCAGACUUCCAAGAAAAGCUCGCAAUGUCAUAAAUAAAUAAUGCCUGUACCAUAACCGACACAGGUGGGUAGGUAGAGUAUACUAAGGGGCGCGAGAUAACUCUCUCUAAGGAACUCGGCAAAAUAACUCCGUAACUUCGGGAGAAGGAGUGCCUUAUUUUAUAAGGUUGCAAUAACAAGAUCCAAGCAACUGUUUAUCAAAAACACAGGUCUCCGCUAAGUCGUAAGACGAUGUAUGGGGGCUGACGCCUGCCCAGUGCCAGAAGGUUAAAGAAGUUGGUUAGCAUUCGCGAAGCUGAUGACUGAAGCCCUGGUGAACGGCGGCCGUAACUAUAACGGUCCUAAGGUAGCGAAAUUCCUUGUCGGGUAAGUUCCGACCCGCACGAAAGGCGUAAUGAUUUGGAUACUGUCUCGGAGAGGGACUCGGUGAAAUAGACUUGUCUGUGAAGAUGCGGACUACCUGCACCAGGACAGAAAGACCCUAUGAAGCUUUACUGUAACCUGAAAUUGAAAUUGGACUUUAUUUGCGCAGUAUAGGUGGGAGGCGUUGAGGCUAAUUUUGCGGGAUUAGUGGAGCCACCAGUGAGAUACCACUCCUAUAAUGUUAGAUUUCUAACUUUGUAUCAUGAUCUGGUCAAAGAACAGUCUCAGGCGGGCAGUUUGACUGGGGCGGUCGCCUCCUAAAUGGUAACGGAGGCGUACAAAGGUUUCCUCUGAACGGGUAGAAAUCGUAUCUAGAGUAUAAAGGCAUAAGGAAGCUUGACUGUGAGACCUACAAGUCGAGCAGGGACGAAAGUCGGUCUUAGUGAUCUGACGGUGCUGAGUGGAAAGGCCGUCACUCAACGGAUAAAAGUUACUCUAGGAUAACAGGCUGAUCUCCCCCAAGAGUUCACAUCGACGGGGAGGUUUGGCACCUCGAUGUCGGCUCAUCGCAUCCUGGGGCGGUAGUACGUCCCAAGGGUUGGGCUGUUCGCCCAUGAAAGCGGUACGCGAGCUGGGUUCAGAACGUCGUGAGACAGUUCGGUCCAUAUCCGGUGUAGGCGUUAGAAUAUUGAGAGGAGCCUUCUUUAGUACGAGAGGACCGAGAAGGACAUACCUCUGGUGUACCAGUUAUCGUGCCAACGGUAAACGCUGGGUAGCUAUGUAUGGAGAGGAUAACCGCUGAAAGCAUCUAAGUGGGAAGCCCACCUCAAGAUUAGUA